rnacentral:rRNA from 1 species
GACGAACGCUGGCGGCGUGCUUAACACAUGCAAGUCGAACGGUGAAGGGACCGGUUUUUGCUGGUUCUGGAUGAGUGGCGAACGGGUGAGUAACACGUGAGUAACCUGCCCCCUUCUUCUGGAUAACCGCAUGAAAGUGUGGCUAAUACGGGAUAUUCUGCGCCUGCUGCAUGGUGGGUGUGGGAAAGAUAUUGUUUCGGUGGGGGAUGGGCUCGCGGCCUAUCAGCUUGUUGGUGGGGUGAUGGCCUACCAAGGCGGUGACGGGUAGCCGGCCUGAGAGGGUGGACGGUCACACUGGGACUGAGACACGGCCCAGACUCCUACGGGAGGCAGCAGUGGGGAAUAUGGCACAAUGGGCGCAAGCCUGAUGCAGCGACGCCGCGUGAGGGAUGGAGGCCUUCGGGUUGUAAACCUCUUUCGCCAGUGAAGCAGGCCUGUCCCUUUUGUGGGUGGGUUGACGGUAGCUGGAUAAGAAGCGCCGGCUAACUACGUG